rnacentral:rRNA from 1 species
CGAACAGACAAGGCAGCUUGCUCCUUUGACGUUAGCGGCGGACGGGUGAGUAACACGUGGGUAACCUACCUAUAAGACUGGGAUAACUUCGGGAAACCGGAGCUAAUACCGGAUAAUAUUUCGAACCGCAUGGUUCGAAAGUGAAAGAUGGUUUUGCUAUCACUUAUAGAUGGACCCGCGCCGUAUUAGCUAGUUGGUAAGGUAACGGCUUACCAAGGCGACGAUACGUAGCCGACCUGAAAGGGUGAUCGGCCACACUGGAACUGAGACACGGUCCAUACUCCUACGGGAGGCAGCAGUAGGGAAUCUUCCGCACUGGGCGAAAGCCUGACGGAGCAACGCCGCGUGAGUGAUGAAGGUCUUCGGAUCGUAAAACUCUGUUAUUAGGGAAGAACAUACUUGUAAGUAACUGUGCACGU